rnacentral:rRNA from 1 species
CGAAAGUCAGAGGUUCGAAGGCGAUCAGAUACCGCCCUAGUUCUGACCGUAAACGAUGCCACCUGACGAUCCGCCAGGGUUACUACCAUGACUCGGCGGGCAGCCCCCGGGAAACCCAAGCCUUCGGGUUCCGGGGGAAGUAUGGUUGCAAAGCUGAAACUUAAAGGAAUUGACGGAAGGGCACCACCAGGAGUGGAGCCUGCGGCUUAAUUUGACUCAACACGGGGAACCUCACCCGGCCCGGACACCGCGAGGAUUGACAGAUUGAGAGCUCUUUCUCGAUUCGGUGGGUGGUGGUGCAUGGCCGUUCUUAGUUGGUGGAGCGAUUUGUCUGGUUAAUUCCGAUAACGAACGAGACUCUAGCCGGUUAAGUAGCCCGAGCGGUUUUUGAUCUUUGCCGUCCGUUGCCCCCGUCCUCGGCUGGGCGGGUUUAGUUAGUGGUCAUCCGACCGUUCAUGCCUUCGUGGCGUGUGACGGGAGGGGAAGCCGCUUUCUCUUCAAGCUUUCGUCGAGACGGGGCGCGGAGCAUAACCGAAGGCCGCCGGCUUUUAAGGAAGCUUCUUAGAGGGACGAGCGGCGUUCAGCCGCCCGAGAUUGA